rnacentral:lncRNA from 1 species
GGGUGCCCAGUUGGAUUUGGGGCUGGAUUUUAGAUACUUGAUGGGAUUUGGGGUGACCCCCAAUGGUAUUUGGGGUGUCCCAGUCAGAUUUGGGGUGCCCAAUGGUAAUGGGGGUGCCCCCAAUGUUAUUUGGGGUGCCCACGGUAUUUGGGGUGCCCCCAAUGCCACCCGGUGUCCCAGGUCUGGCCCUGUCCCGUCUCUCGGGCCCCUCCCGGGUCAUCGUUCCCUUCGUGGCCUGCGGGGACCUGAGCGCCUUCGACCCCGACCGCACGUACCCGCUGCAGGUACUGGGGCAACUGGGAUGGACCAGGGAGGGAAAGGGAUGGGAAACUGGGGAAACUGGGAUGGACUGGGACGGGAAACUGGGAUGGGAAUGGGACCUGAGCGCCUUCGACCCCGACCGCACGUACCCACUGCAGGUACUGGGGCAACUGGGAUGGACUGGGGAAACUGGGAUGGACUGGGAUGGGAAACUGGGAUGGACUGGGAUGGGAAACUGGGAUGGACUGGGAUGGGAAACUGGGAUGGGAAUGGGACCUGAGCGCCUUUGACCCCGACCGCACGUACCCCGUGCAGGUACUGGGGAAACUGGGAAUGGGAAACUGGAGGGACUGGGAUG